CGCCCUUCCUACGGGAGGCAGCAGUGGGGAAUUUUGGACAAUGGGCGCAAGCCUGAUCCAGCCAUGCCGCGUGCGGGAAGAAGGCCUUCGGGUUGUAAACCGCUUUUGUCAGGGAAGAAAUCUUCUGGGUUAAUACCUCGGGAGGAUGNCNGNCCUAAG
rnacentral:rRNA from 1 species